rnacentral:rRNA from 1 species
UACGGAGGGUGCAAGCGUUAUCCGGAAUCAUUGGGUUUAAAGGGUCCGCAGGCGGUCUUAUAAGUCAGUGGUGAAAGCCUACAGCUCAACUGUAGAACUGCCAUUGAUACUGUAGGACUUGAAUUCGAUCGAAGUGGGCGGAAUGUGACAUGUAGCGGUGAAAUGCUUAGAUAUGUCACAGAACACCGAUAGCGAAGGCAGCUCACUAGGUCUGGAUUGACGCUCAGGGACGAAAGCGUGGGGAGCAAACAGGAUUAGAUACCCUGGUAGUCCACGCCGUAAACUAUCAAUACUCGUUUUCGGGGCCUUCGGGCUUCGGAGACCAAGCGAAAGUGAUAAGUAUUGCACCUGGGGAGUACGAUCGCAAGGUUGAA